rnacentral:rRNA from 1 species
UACGUAGGGGGCAAGCGUUGUCCGGAAUCACUGGGCGUAAAGAGCGUGUAGGCGGCUCGGUCAGUCCGCUGUGAAAGUCCAGGGCUCAACCCUGGAAUGCCGGUGGAAACUGUCGGGCUAGAGUCCGGAAGAGGCGAGUGGAAUUCCUGGUGUAGCUGUGAAAUGCGCAGAUAUCAGGAGGAACACCAAUGGCGAAGGCAGCUCGCUGGGACGGUACUGACGCUGAGACGCGAAAGCGUGGGGAGCAAACAGG